rfam:Picoides pubescens contig71794, whole genome shotgun sequence.
ACCAAGGUUCUUUUCAGAGCCACCCACAGGUAAUUUAUACUGUGA